rnacentral:rRNA from 1 species
GGGGGAGUUGCCGGCGUGCCUAUACAUGCAGUCGAGCGGAUCAAGCAUUUAGAGAGCUUGCUUCUUCAUAAUGCGUUAUCGCCGGACGGGUGAGUAUCACGUAUGUGACCUGCCUGUGAAACAGGGAUAUCAUUCUCAAACAAAAGCUAUUACCGGAUACACGAUUUCCUCUCACGGGGAGAUCGGGAAAGACAGAGCACUCUCUCUCUUACACAUAGACCUGCGCCGCACUAUCUAUUUUUUGGGGUAACGGCUCUCCCCGGCGACAAUACGUAUCCCACCUGAGAGGGGGAUCGGCCACACUGUGACUGUGACACGGCCCACACUCCUACAGGAGGCGCCACUAUGGAAUCUUCCCCACUGGACAAAAGUCUGACAGAGAACCGCCCCGUGAGUGAUAAAAGCUUUCUGGUCGUAAAGCUCUCUUGCCCCGGAAAAAAACUUAUAAGAGAAACUGCUCUUAAAGUGACAGUACCUGAGAAAAAAGCCCCCCCUAACUACAUGCCACCACCCCCGGUAAUACGUAUGGGGCGAGCGUUGUCCGGAAUUAUUGGGCGUAAAGCGCGCGCAGGCGGCUUUGUAAGUCUGUCGUUUAAGUUCGGGGGUUCAACCCCCGUAUCGCGAUGGAAACUGCAAGGCUUGAGUGCAGAAGAGGAAAGUGGAAUUUCCACGUGAAGCGGUGAAAUGCGUAGAGAUGUGGAGGAACACCAGUGGCGAAGGCGACUUUCUGGGCUGUAACUGACGUUGAGGCGCGAAAGCGUGGGGAGCAACCAGGAUAAGAUACCCUGGUAGUCCACCCGGUAAACGAUGAAUGUUAGGUGUUAGGGGUUUCAAUACCCUGGGUGCGGAAGUUACCCCAUUAACCAUUCCGCUUGGGGAGUACGUUCGCAAGAGUGAAACUCAAAGGAAUUGACGGGGACCCGCCCAACCAGGGGAGUAUGUGGUUUAAUUGGAAGCAACGCGAAGACCCUUACCAGUUCUUGACAUCCUUUUGACCGUUCUGGAGACAGGCUUUCCUUUCGGGGCAGAGGAGACAGGUGGUGCAUGGUGGUGGUCAGUUCGUGUCGUGAGAUGUUGGGUUAAGUCCCGCAACGAGCGCAACCCUUGAUUUUAGUUGCCAGCACUUCGGGUGGGCACUCUAGAAUGACUGCCGGUGACAAACCGGAGGAAGGCGGGGAUGACGUCAAAUCAUCAUGCCCCUUAUGACCUGGGCUACACACGUACUACAAUGGCCGGUACAACGGGCUGCGAAGGAGCGAUCCGGAGCGAAUCCUUAAAAGCCGGUCUCAGUUCGGAUUGGAGGCUGCAACUCGCCUCCAUGAAGUCGGAAUUGCUAGUAAUCGCGGAUCAGCAUGCCGCGGUGAAUACGUUCCCGGGUCUUGUACACACCGCCCGUCACACCACGAGAGUUUACAACACCCGAAGCCGGUGGGGUAACCGCAAGGAGCCAGCCGUCGAAGGUGGGGUAGAUGA